CCAAAGUCCAGUGAAUGGAACUAUUGAGUGCCGUGCGAGCAGGAACCAUACCUGCGUUCAUCUGCCCACUGCAGAACAGUGCAGUUAAUUACACCAACCCAGCUAGUGGCAUCAGUGACUAAAAUCCCCAGAUUACCUUGAUUGCUCUGUUAUUAUCUGUAAUCAGCUGCUGCUUCUUAUCUUCAAACUGUUGUACAACUUCCUGGAGCCGCUGUUCUGCAGCGAGCUGCUGCCGGCUGUUCUCUUCUGUCAGAGAGGAAAUGGUUGUCUUAAGUUCAGCUAUGAUCUGCGAGGACUUGGCCAGCUUCUGGCUGUACUCCUUCUCCAUCUGCUUCAGCCGGCAGUUGGCCUUGUCCAAGGUCUUCUCUGUCUCUGCAGCGUGCACCUUUUUCAUGUCCAGCACCAUCCUUUCGGUCUCUGCUUUCAGCUGACUGACCGCUGCCUUGUGAUCUCGCGCUGCCCUCUGCCUUUC
rnacentral:lncRNA from 1 species